ACUGAUGAACCACAAGAUCAUGACCUGAGCUGAAGUUGAACACUUAACCAACUGAGCCACCCAGGAGCUGCAGGCCAAUUACAGUUUUUAAUUGUUAUUGACACUAAGCCUCUCUUAAGUCUGCCUUUACUGCACUUUUUAUUGCAUAUAUUGUUUCUAGUCCUAUUUCCCCAUACUUUUUGACUUUUACAUGGGGGACAAAAUGGCCUUUCAUGGGUAUCAUCCUUCAGUCAAUGCAUUUCUUCUCAAACAUCCAGGGAGUAGAUGAAUCACAGAUUCUCAGGUAUAAUCUUCCAGUUUUGCUGCUUCUUCCCUGCAUUUUGUCUGCCACUGAGUGCUCAUUCACAAGUUCAUUCUUUGAUUCUUAGAUAUUUACCAAGCUUAGUAUAUGAUAGUCUAAAUGUUAGGUACUGCCAUAAUAAUGUAGACAUGGUCAUAGUAUUUGAGUCUAGGAGGAAGACCAACAGUUAAAUAAGCAUCUAAAAUAUGGUGUGAUGAACUUUUUGAUAGUGGACAUCAGAUCUCCGUAACAUCAUUUGGCAGGUGUUUCUGACCUGUUUCGGGGCUGGAAUGGGAAUGGCUUCCAGGAAGAAGUAACAUUUAGGUUGAAAUCUAAAGGAUGAGUAGGACUCAUUAGGCAAGGGGUCAGGGGCAGGUACAGGUUAUAUGGGAACUAGUAAACAAAUACAUAAUAAAAUAACAAUAAUCUAAAAGUAUACUGUUGGUGUAUGGCCUUGUACACUGUAGGUGUAGGCUUCAUACAAGUGAAGGGUUCUGAAAAUUAAGCUUCACAACUUCAUAGUAAACCUGCCUCUGCAGAGGCAGAGAGUUCUGCCAGAAGGUUCUGCAGAGGGUUCUGUCAGAAGGACAGAACCCAGGAGAUGGUCACAGAAUGGUGAAAUUCACUUGAGUUGUUCAGGAAGUGAGGGGGACCAUGUUCCAGAGAAAAUGAAGUAUUAUUAUAUGAGCACAAAGUGAAGCCAGUACCUGGUAAGCUACAUGAGGGAAUUUGGUCUUUAUCCUAAGGGCAGUGUGAAGACACUAAAUGAUUUUAAGCAAGCAAGUGACCUGAUUAGAUUUAUAUUUAGAAAUAUGUUUCUGUUGCAGUGUGUAAAAUUUAAUGCGGAGAGGGAAGAUGUGAAACAGCUCAGAACUGCCUCUUCCCUGAAAGAGGAGGUUUUUGUGAGCUUUCUUUUUCGCUUCCUUUCUGGUUCAGAGAUGCUACAAAAGUCUACCCUCCCUGUUUGCUGCAGUCCCAUUGUACAUGGCAGUUUCCAUGCACACAAAUAAUAAAGAUUUCUUUAGAAAAUAGCAUGUUCUAUUGUUUUAAAUCAGUUUAUACUCAACCCUUGGAAACUAUAAUCACUGUAUAAAAAAUAUAUAAACGUAUAUUAUAUAUAUAAACAUAACUAUAAGUAUGUAUAUGUUUAUGUAUGUGUAUAUACAUAUACAUGUAUAUACAUGGGUAUAUGUGUAUACCCACACACACAUACCCUACAGUUUUAUAAAGUGAAGGUAUUUGGAUGUUUGGUUUAUGCUUGUCUUUAAGUCAGUUCUGUAACUGUGUUAAAGUGUUUUAAUUUCUCCUUUCCUUUGCUUGCGUCAGCUCUCAAGAGGCAUGCAGUCACAAAUCUAAUGAUGUAUUCUGUCCCCCUCAGAAUACCUAAUUACUCUUGAUUUGGUACAUUUCAUUUUAGGCAACUGUGGUAUUGCUAAGUUAAUUAAAUUUCGUGUUUUUAAAUGAACAAGAAAAUAAAGGAAAUAUAGCCAUGGAUUCCAUAAACCCAUAACAUCAACUGUUCUUUGAAGCCACAGUGUGAAUGCAAGAGCAUUUAGUGGUCACUCAAAAGAAGAAUAUUUUUGAGUCCAUUCAGCUGCUAUCAUUGAGCUUUAGUAUAGGCUCUUAGAGCUACAAUACUGUUUACAAAGCCCUUGUUAACACUGUGUGAAUACAGUGAGUACAGUGUUUUAUGGAACUCCAUAGGCCUCAGAUAAAAACACUUCUAUGCUUGCUUGGUUGUUCUUUUGGACAGGCUUAGGACACAGAAGCUCAGUGGCCUUGCAAAUCAGAAGAUGAACUCAGUUUAGAAAUUACUGAUAAUGGGCUACAGUUAACUUUAAAUUCAUGCAAAUUAAUUACCAGUAAAUGAAUUACAAAAUUGAAACCGUCUUUGUAGCAUGCAAUUUUGAGUUGUGUGAUUUCUUUUCCUAACACCUCUUGAAGACAUUGCCUAGAAGAUAGAGCUAAUUAAAAAUGCAAAUUUUCUCAUUUUAGUGUUGAUACAAUAUAUAUUUCACAAAACUUGGUUUAAUGACAUGAGAUUGCUAUCUAUACCAAUGUAAUUGUCAUGUCUUGUUUCGUAAAAUUUUCAUAAUAAAGUUUACCCAUCCUAA